GAUGAACGCUGGCGGCGUGCCUAAUACAUGCAAGUCGAGCGAAUGGAUUAAGAGCUUGCUCUUAUGAAGUUAGCGGCGGACGGGUGAGUAACACGUGGGUAACCUGCCCAUAAGACUGGGAUAACUCCGGGAAACCGGGGCUAAUACCGGAUAACAUUUUGAACCGCAAGGUUCGAAAUUGAAAGGCGGCUUCGGCUGUCACUUAUGGAUGGACCCGCGUCGCAUUAGCUAGUUGGUGAGGUAACGGCUCACCAAGGCAACGAUGCGUAGCCGACCUGAGAGGGUGAUCGGCCACACUGGGACUGAGACACGGCCCAGACUCCAACGGGAGGCAGCAGUAGGGAAUCUUCCGCAAUGGACGAAAGUCUGACGGAGCAACGCCGCGUGAGUGAUGAAGGCUUUCGGGUCGUAAAACUCUGUUGUUAGGGAAGAACAAGUGCUAGUUGAAUAAGCUGGCACCUUGACGGUACCUAACCAGAAAGCCACGGCUAACUACGUGCCAGCCGCCGCCGUAA
rnacentral:rRNA from 1 species